rnacentral:rRNA from 1 species
UGGGGGAAUUUUGGACAAUGGGGGAAACCCUGAUCCAGCCAUCCCGCGUGUGCGAUGAAGGCCUUCGGGUUGUAAAGCACUUUUGGCAGGAAAGAAACGUCGCGGGUUAAUACCCCGCGAAACUGACGGUACCUGCAGAAUAAGCACCGGCUAACUACGUGCCAGCAGCCGCGGUAAUACGUAGGGUGCAAGCGUUAAUCGGAAUUACUGGGCGUAAAGCGUGCGCAGGCGGUUCGGAAAGAAAGAUGUGAAAUCCCAGAGCUUAACUUUGGAACUGCAUUUUUAACUACCGGGCUAGAGUGUGUCAGAGGGAGGUGGAAUUCCGCGUGUAGCAGUGAAAUGCGUAGAUAUGCGGAGGAACACCGAUGGCGAAGGCAGCCUCCUGGGAUAACACUGACGCUCAUGCACGAAAGCGUGGGGAGCAAACAGGAUUAGAUACCCUGGUAGUCCACGCCCUAAAGCGAUGUCAACUAGCUGUUGGGGCCUUCGGGCCUUGGUAGCGCAGCUAACGCGUGAAGUUGACCGCCUGGGGAGUACGGUCGCAAGAUUAAAACUCAAAUGAA